UGAGGAAUAUUGGUCAAUGGACGCAAGUCUGAACCAGCCAAGUAGCGUGCAGGAUGACGGCCCUAUGGGUUGUAAACUGCUUUUAUAUGGGGAUAAAGUGGGGAACGUGUUCCCUUUUGCAGGUACCAUAUGAAUAAGGACCGGCUAAUUCCGUGCCAGCAGCCGCGGUAAUACGUAUGGGGCGAGCGUUGUCCGGAAUUAUUGGGCGUAAAGGGUACGUAGGCGGUCUAUUAAGUCAGGUGUGAAAGCGUGAGGCUUAACCUCAUUAAGCACUUGAAACUGAUAGACUUGAGUGAAGGAGAGGAAAGUGGAAUUCCUAGUGUAGCGGUGAAAUGCGUAGAUAUUAGGAGGAAUACCGGUGGCGAAGGCGACUUUCUGGACUUUUACUGACGCUCAGGUACGAAAGCGUGGGGAGCAAACAGG
rnacentral:rRNA from 1 species